AUGGCUCAGAGCGAAACGCUGGGGGGGCGGGCUUAAACACAUGCAAAGUCGAGCGGGGCCCCUUCGGGGGUCAGCGGCGGACGGGUGAGUAACGCGUGGGAACGUGCCUUCUGGUUCGGAAUAACCCUGGGAAACUAGGGCUAAUACCGGAUACGCCCUUAUGGGGAAAGGUUUACUGCCGGAAGAUCGGCCGCGUCUGAUUAGCUAGUUGGUGGGGUAACGGCCUACCAAGGCGACGAUCAGUAGCUGGUCUGAGAGGAUGAUCAGCCACACUGGGACUGAGACACGGCCCAGACUCCUACGGGAGGCAGCAGUGGGGAAUAUUGGACAAUGGGCGCAGGCCUGAUCCAGCCAUGCCGCGUGAGUGAUGAAGGCCUUAGGGUUGUAAAGCUCUUUUAUCCGGGACGAUAAUGACGGUACCGGAGGAAUAAGCCCCGGCUAACUUCGUGCCAG
rnacentral:rRNA from 1 species